UACGGAGGGUGCGAGCGUUAUCCGGAAUUACUGGGUUUAAAGGGUGCGUAGGCGGCUAUGUAAGUCAGGAGUGAAAGUUUGCGGCUCAACCGUAAAAUUGCUUUUGAUACUGCAUGGCUAGAAUUAGGUUGAGGUUAGCGGAAUGUGGCAUGUAGCGGUGAAAUGCAUAGAUAUGCCAUAGAACACCAAUUGCGAAGGCAGCUGACUAGACCUGGAUUGACGCUGAGGCACGAAAGCGUGGGGAGCGAAC
rnacentral:rRNA from 1 species